rnacentral:lncRNA from 1 species
GUGAGCUUUGUAACACACAGUUUUUAGAUGUUUUUUAUGGUGCGUUUGGUUCAUGCUAUCUUUUUAGGCUGCGUUUGGUUCGGAUAUAAGUAAGAACUAUUUAUUCCAGGGAUAGGUACAAAUUAAGUAUAAGCAGGAACUAGAUCAAUUUUGCGUUUGGAUUAAAAUUGGGUUGUUUCUAGGAAUAAGAUAAAGUGUUUGGAUGGUUAGAUUGGAACAAAGGGAAUAAGAGUUAUAAGUUUAAAUUAAAAUUAUUUCAUCUAAUUAAUUAACAUCAAAAUAUUACUUAAAAAUAAUAACUUAAUAUUAAUAAUUAUAAAUAAUAAACUAUUUAAAUAAUACUAAAUUGAAUAAAAACUUAUAAAUAAUUAUAAAUUAUAAAUUAAUUAAUUAAUAAAAAAUUAAUUAGAUAAUAAAUUAUAAACAAUAAAUUAUUAAUAAUUAUAAAUUAUAAAUUAAUUAAUUAAUAAUAAGUAAAUUAAUUAAUUAAUAAUAAAUAAUUAUAAAUAAUAAGUUAUUAACUAAUAAUAAAUUAAUUAGAUAGUAUAGUAUAAAUAAAUUAAUAAUAGUUAUAAAUAAUAAAUUAUUAAUAAUUAUAAAUAAUAAAUAAAUAAAAUAAAAUAAAAUAAAUAAUAAAUUAUAAAAAAUUAAUUAAUAAUACAAUUAUUAAUAAUUAUUAAUAAUAAUACAUUAAUUGAUAAUAAAUUAAAUAAUUAAUAGUAAUAAAUUAUUAAUAAUUAUAAAUAAUAAAUUAUUAAUAAUUAUAAAUUACAAAUUAAUUAAUUAAUAAUAAAUAAUUAUGAAUAAUAAAUUAUUAGUUAAUAAUAAAUUAUUAACAAUAAAUUAACUAGAUAAUAUAGUAUAAAUAAUAAAUUAAUAAUAAUUAUAAAUAAUAAAAUAAUUGAUUAAUAAUAAAAGUAAAUAAUUAUAAAAUAAUAAAAUUUAAAUAAUAAAUUAUAAAUAAUAUAGUAUUAUAAAUUAUAAAUAUUAAAUCAUUACUAAUUAUAAAUUAUAAAUUAAUUAAUAAGUAAUAAAAUUAAAAUUUAAUUAAUUAUUACUAAUUAUAAAUAAUAAUAUAUUAAUUAAUAAUAAAUUAAAAAAUUAAUAUUAAAUUAAUAAUANUAGUUAAUAAUAUUUAAUAAAUAAAUUAAUAAUUAAUUAAUUAGAAAUUAAAUAAAGUAAUUAUUAAUAAUUAUAAAUAAUAAUAAUUUAAUUACUAAUAAUAAAUUAAUAAAUUAUUUUAUUAUUUAAUCAAUAAAUAAUGAUUUAAAUAUAUUAAUUAAAUUAAUUAAUUAUUUAAUACCAUAAUUAAAAUUAUUUUUUGACUUUAAUUAAUGUUAUUCUCACCUAGGAACAAGUUUCAGGAAAAAGGUGGAACAACAGUUCCAGCCUUAUACCUACUUAUUCCAGAAAUCUGAGAACUACUGUUCUCGGGUACCAAAUGCAGCAUUUGGGAACAAAGGAGAGAACAAGGGCUUAUUCCUCCCCUUGUUUUCGAACCAAAUGCUACAUUAAGAUUCUCGGUAAUCCAAUAGGAAUAAAAAAAAUGACGGUGUUUGGUUAAACGCACUAAGUAGUCUAGCUGGUAAUGUUGGAUUGACUUAGGAAUGAGAUUCAUUCCAAAGUACUAAUCUCAUUUCCUUGAGAGAGGAUGGAUAUCCUUAUAUUAAUAAAUUGGGUAAUCAUAAUAUGUCUAAUAUUUUUCUUUCUCGCCACCCACCGGCUAGUUGGUAUUGUUUUUCUUUACUCUCUAACCUCAUAUCUCUCUCUUAGCUUAUCUUUCCCUCUCUAAACUUUUAACUCUUUUUCUCUCUAAGUUAAGCUCUCUCGACCCCUCUUUUUCUAAAACCUCAACUCUCUCACGCCCUCUAAUCUCGACUCUAUCUCUCUCCCUAUUUUUUUAAUUAUGCUCUCUCUCCUCUCUCUCUAAAAUCUCAAAUCUGUUGCUCCCUCUAACCCCAAAUCUCUCUAUUUAAGCUAACUCUUCCUCUCUUUUUGUCUCUUCACAUCUCUAACUUAAGAAACUCUCUUUAUAAUCUCAAUUUUCUCUUCCUUUAACUGAUCGUCCCUAGAGCAAGUGGCAAAGGGUUUGGUGGUUGGUACCCGAGACCCAAGUUCGAAUCCUAGUUGAUU